CAUAGGUUAAUGAGGCGAACCGGGGGAACUGAAACAUCUAAGUACCCCGAGGAAAAGAAAUCAACCGAGAUUCCCCCAGUAGCGGCGAGCGAACGGGGAGCAGCCCAGAGCCUGAAUCAGUGUGUGUGUUAGUGGAAGCGUCUGGAAAGGCGCGCGAUACAGGGUGACAGCCCCGUACACAAAAAUGCACAUGCUGUGAGCUCGAUGAGUAGGGCGGGACACGUGGUAUCCUGUCUGAAUAUGGGGGGACCAUCCUCCAAGGCUAAAUACUCCUGACUGACCGAUAGUGAACCAGUACCGUGAGGGAAAGGCGAAAAGAACCCCGGCGAGGGGAGUGAAAAAGAACCUGAAACCGUGUACGUACAAGCAGUGGGAGCACGCUUAGGCGUGUGACUGCGUACCUUUUGUAUAAUGGGUCAGCGACUUAUAUUCUGUAGCAAGGUUAACCGAAUAGGGGAGCCGAAGGGAAACCGAGUCUUAACUGGGCGUUAAGUUGCAGGGUAUAGACCCGAAACCCGGUGAUCUAGCCAUGGGCAGGUUGAAGGUUGGGUAACACUAACUGGAGGACCGAACCGACUAAUGUUGAAAAAUUAGCGGAUGACUUGUGGCUGGGGGUGAAAGGCCAAUCAAACCGGGAGAUAGCUGGUUCUCCCCGAAAGCUAUUUAGGUAGCGCCUCGUGAAUUCAUCUCCGGGGGUAGAGCACUGUUUCGGCAAGGGGGUCAUCCCGACUUACCAACCCGAUGCAAACUACGAAUACCGGAGAAUGUUAUCACGGGAGACACACGG
rnacentral:rRNA from 1 species